UCUGGUGACGAGAGCGGGGUGGAACCACCCGUUCCCAUCCCGAACACGGAAGUGAAACGCCCCAGCGCCGACGAUACUGUGUUCGCAAGUCCAUGGGAAAAUAGGCCGCCGCCAGGA
rnacentral:rRNA from 1 species